rnacentral:lncRNA from 1 species
GCUUUCUGCAUAAAUAAGUACAUAGUAAAAUAGGAAACUAUGGCCAGAUGAGGAGGAACUCUCAGCAUGUGCCAUCUUUUCUAGGGUCUUCUCUGUUGGGGCUAUAGUCAGUGCUGAUGCUCACCAGACCCCUGGAGAUCUGAAUGACUCCACCUAGAUUCCAGACCAGGAAGCCAGGUGGUAAAGAGGUGGCCUGACACGGCUCGUUGGUUGUGGACUGUCCAAAGCUGCCUCUCUCCAUAGCCCUGUGCUGCCUUCUGGUGCUGAAGGUCCACCUGUCCUGUGCUCCUGCCCAGUGGUGUGGCCAAGUGUUUGCUCCAAUGGCUGCUGCAGGGAUCUUCCUGAGUCCUCUCCUCUGCCAAAUGCAUCGCCCACUGAAACAUCCUUCCUGUGACACGCUUUAUAACUCUUUCUGCUCCAAACCUCCUAUCUGGGAACGAAGAACAACACUUGUUGCCUGUCCUCUGGCCACCUCCCAGCUCAGAGAUUGUCUCCUCUCCACCUGCAACCAGGAUUUGUCUGGGAUCUUGUCUCCUGGAGCAGGGUUUCCAGCCUCGUGCAAGAGCCACCAUCACCAUGUGAGGCCCUCGAACCCUGCAGAGGUGGAGCCAGGGCCGGAGCCUGGCAGAAGCAGGAUGCAACCCCUAAGAGAGGGAUCCUGGGCAGACUGCCCUGGGCACAGAGGGCAGAGCAUGACCAGGCUAGGCCGGGGAGGGCGGGGCCUCCAGAAGCCAGGAGACUAGACCCUGACGUGUGGAUGGCUGGUGGAGACCUGAGGGUGAGGGUUAAGUGGUCCAACAGACGGCUCUUCAUGAUCCUUAGAGAGAAAGUGCAAACAUUUGAUGCUUUCUUUCCUUCUUAGAUUUAAAGGGUUUCCUAUUAGGUGUCAAGGGAUGCUGCUAGCUCCACCUUAUUAUGUUUCUGGGCAAACCUACUGGACUUCUGUUCCUUUAUUCAUCUGAUCAGCACAAUCCAAGAUAAGCUGUCAUUGGAAAUGGGAUGAAGGGCCAGGGGUGAAAUCUUGGACUGUUCAAGAGGUAGUUUCCAGGGAUAAAGCAGAUUGCAAAUGUCAAUGUGGGAAUGAAAUUUCUGCACACAAAAUCUCCCCCGACCCAGCAACAACCUGCUCUGCACAUGUGGAUGGCAGAAUUCCUGAUGUGUGACAUCCUGGCUUGGUCCCCUUCAAUUUCCUUAUGAGGGCAUCACACCUGGAUCCAGUUGGCACCUCCGAAUUAUUGAAGUGAAUGUUAUUACUUGGAUAAUCAGAAGCAAAAGUUAUUCCUUAAAAUAAAUCCUUUUUCCCAGAAAAUCCAAACCCAAACAGCGUUUCAACAAAUCUCAGAUCUUCUUUCAUCCUGAAUGUGAAGAGCAGGUGGUGUUGAUAUUUUGUUAGCAUUUUGUCCUAAGUUUCUUGGCCACAGUUCCUCUUAUUUUAUUUUCUUGUGCCGAUACUUAAGUAUUGAGAAUUCUUUCUUACAAUGAAGUUUCCAGGUCACAGAAAGCCAGCGUUGAUCAAUGUGGAGGCUUAGGCUUUGAGGAGCUCUUGGUUAGGGCCCAACAAGGUGAUCAGAAUGGAAUCGGAACCACCCACCGUGGGCCUUGGGGACGGAGGGCAACUUCCGAUUCUUAGCAAUUCAAGUAUUUCGG